AAGGGUUGACUUUAUAACUUCAGAAAUUCAUUUGCAAUUCACGUUUUGUUCCAUCCCAUGAAGGGCAGAUUUGUACUGUUUGUGACUUAGCAAUGGUCGAUUCUGAUGCUUCCAGUUUACUCUGCUCUCCUUCGCUGCUUCGCAGAUCAAAUAAUUUGAAAUGCUUCAUUGGAGUUAUUUCUGGCUUCCAAUUGCAGUACCAUAACCUUGUUGUUUCUUUGGAACAAAGAGGUAAGAAUAUCAAGUUACCAGUUGAGUUCCAAUCAUAAUGUGUUUCUAUAUUUUGGUUUUGAAUUCUACAUUAGCUUUUCAUCUCUCUUAUUCGGUUAACCGACUAACACAAAAUUCAAAUCCGAAUCUGAAGCCGAAAUCCGAAUAAAAAUUCGAAUAUAACCAAAUUGCAAAAAAUAACUGAAUUAUCAAGAAAUUUGGUUAAAUUUUUUUUGAUUCCGGUAGUUAUUCUGUUAUAUCCGUUUUUCGCUCAAUCCUCAGCACAAAUAUCUCCAAAAGAAAAAAAAUUCCUUUCUUGAUGUUAAAAACAAAGAGGUUUGGGUUUGAUUACAAAUGUUGGUCUUGCUAUUAGUAGAUCUAAGAGGAUGGAUGGGGGGGCCUAUCCCUAUGCCCAAGUAAACUACCACUGAUACAAUUAUUACUCCUCUUUGCAUAAUUAAUGAGGGAAAACAAGAAUCCUAUUUUCUUCGAGAUCUGUCUUGAGGAAGCGCUUUUAGGAAUAAGCUUCUGAUCAUUGGAUGAUCUGUUUUGGGUUUCUACAGAAAAUCCCACAUAGUUUUUGUUGUUCCAUAACCACCAUCACCUCCAUAGCUACCUUCACGACUACCGCUGCGGAUCAGAUCAGAUCUAAAUCAACACACAAACAGAUCUCGAUAUACAUACACACAGACACACACACACACACACACUUUCAUCUAAUUCCUUUUUCGUUCCGGUUCUGUAUCGAUCAGGUAAUAUGUUUGAAUGAUGAUUUUGCUUCGGAUCGGAUAAUAUGUUUUG
rnacentral:lncRNA from 1 species